CUUCUUUUUUUUUUUUUUUUUCUUUCUAAGAGAACACUUUCACUAUAUUUUCAUGGGUGAUAUUCUCUUGAUGGUUUGGCAUUGAACUUUCCAUCCUGUCAUUAUCUCACUAAUGUUUAUCAAAGUACUGGGGUUGUUUUUUUUACUGUUUUUUUAUUUAACUAAAUGCUCCCAGAAUGUGUGCUGAUAUGUUAUUUAAAGUAUUUAUGAUACAGCUGUUGUUGAAUUUCCCAGACAAAUGGUAAACAAUUGAUCAACUCGGUGUAUUCAUCCUACUUAGUGUUCCACUUGGCAUGCAAGUCUUUGAGUUGUUAAAUGUCAUCCCAUAAAAACAGGAUUUUUACUGCAUUUAAUACAAAAGUCUAUUCAAUAUGUUGACAACCAGUUCUUAAAAAGGUCAGACCUACUCAACAAAUUUGAUUUUACUACUGGAAGAAUAAAUUUAAAAAUACUAAAAUAUCCUGUCAGUAUCUCAGAGUGCUAAAUAAUGAAAUAUUAUAUUGUCUUUGUGCACAAAGUGUAGCUUACAUACUUAAACUUUGAUAUUUUGUGCGUGUUGUGUAUGUAACAUAUAAUGGUUAAAGGUCUAGUGCAUGUCUUGAGUUCAAGGAAUAGCAUCCACGUCUUGUAUGCUGUAAUACUUUUCUAAAUGAAAGGCUGGUGAUAGGGCGUUCCACACUGCAGUUCCUGAAGGCAGUCUAGUGCAAAUUUGUUGAUGACUAUGUACAUAGUAUAGAGUAGUCUGUGAAUGGUUCACUGAGCUUUGUUAC